AAGCCUCCAUCUUUCUUGCUCCCAUCGAAGUGGGGGAAUAAGAAGCCAACAGAACAAGAAAAUUGAAAAGCCUCCAUUUUAGUCUUGAAAGGCAGAGUAGCUCUUGAGCAUGCCCAAUUCUUGUUCUGGCACGCUCUACAAAUGAUGGUGGCGGAGUUGAAGAAGGUGAUCAAUUUAUAUUUUUUGCUCUUUUAUUAUUCAUUCAUUAUUAAUAAGAAGAAUAUUCUAGAAAUCUUGAUAUUUAAUCAAGAAUGGUGGACCAAAAUAAUAAAGGUCCACCCUAGUGUGGACCCAUAAAUUGAACUCCAUAUUACUCUUUGUGUCGUCUAGCUUCUUCUUCCUUGUAUCUCUUGAUUUCCAUCGAACGGCAUAUUCUAAUGUUUAUUAUAUAAACCAACAAAUUUAACUCCAAUAAGAGACAUUUUCUUUUAAAACGCCACACAUAACACCUACCUCCCAUUUUAUCCUUGUUAUUUUACUGAUUACAUAGACAAAUUGUUUAGGCUUUGGUUUCAGAAUUGAAAAUUAAAGCUUCUUCAUAUGCCUCAAUGGUUGCCCCUAUUAUAUAGUACUUAUUGAAAACCGUUGUAACAUCAAUGAGUAAGACGCACAUACAUAGCUCAUCUAAUCGAACAAAUCAAAAUGAAUAUGAUAUUGGAAAUUAAAAGAUCUUAAGAUGCACUAAUAGCACAUGAACAUAGCAAAAUUGUCACAAGAUCAAUUUUCAUCACGCAACAAAGUGCAUAAAACUAAUAGCAAUUUACAGUACUGCAACUACUUGGCUGUAAAUCAAAGAUUCAAGGCCAAACAAAAUCCAGAGACACCCUCGAUUCCAUUGGAUUUUCUGUCAUCACCACCUCUUCAGUUUUCUGGCUGUUCUGCUCCUGCUCCAUGAUGCCACCCUCAUAAUCUUUCAGUGGUUUUCUUGCAGCAGCACAACAAGAUGAAUAAGAAGAGGGAGGAUAUGCUGCUAACAGAGCUGC
rnacentral:lncRNA from 1 species